UUCUGUGUUCCUGUAUGAAGGCACUGUCCAGCUUGUUCUUGAGAGGAGGAUUCAUUGUCUGGGAACAGGAUGAACAUUCGAUUGAUGCUCAUUGUGGUUUGAAUUAUCAAACCUCUUUUCGGAUGAAAUACCUUGCAUUUUCCAUCCUUGAACAAAAUGUCCAACCCCCUUUCCUGUAGCUGACCUAUACUCAGCAAAUUGUUCUUUAAAUCUGGGACAUAAUACACCUCUGCAAUGGUGUGAAUUAUUCCAUUCAGUAGAAGCUUCACACUCCCUUU
rnacentral:lncRNA from 1 species